rnacentral:tRNA from 1 species
GGGGUUGUGACUCAGUGGUAGAGCGCUUGCCUAGCAUGUAGGGGACUGGGUUCGAUCCUCAGCACCACA